AACAUACUCCCUCCGUCCAACAAAAGAUGUCUCAAGUUUGUCAGAAUUUGGAUGUAUUUAGACGUGACUUAGUGUAUAGAUCUAUUCAAAUUUAAUAAAAGUUGAGACAUCUUUUGUUGACGGAGGAAAUAGUAA
rfam:Brachypodium distachyon strain Bd21 chromosome 5, whole genome shotgun sequence.